UAGCAAGCCUCCAGCAUGCUUGGGUCUGCAGUGACUCUGUGCAUUUAUAUAGUGCUUGCCGGAACAGAUUUGAAAUGGUUUGAGGCCUUGCCCUGCUCCGUGUAGAUCAAGGUUAUAGAAAUUUCAGACAAUG
ensembl:snoRNA